AGUGAACGCUGGCGGCAGGCCUAAUACAUGCAAGUCGAACGGCAGCACGGCAGAGCUUGCUCUGUGGGUGGCGAGUGGCGGACGGGUGAGGAAUACAUGGGAAUCUGCCCAGUCGUGGGGGAUAACGUAGGGAAACUUACGCUAAUACCGCAUGCGCCCUUCGGGGAAAGCCGGGGACCUUCGGGCCUGGCGCGAUUGGAUGAGCCCAUGUCGGAUUAGCUAGUUGGCGGGGUAAUGGCCCACCAAGGCGACGAUCCGUAGCUGGUCUGAGAGGAUGAUCAGCCACACUGGAACUGAGACACGGUCCAGACUCCUACGGGAGGCAGCAGUAGGGAAUAUUGGACAAUGGGCGCAAGCCUGAUCCAGCCAUGCCGCGUGAGUGAAGAAGGCCCUCGGGUUGUAAAGCUCUCUUGUCCGGAAAGAAAAGCGCCGGGUUAAUACCCUGGUGUCCUGACGGUACCGGAAGAAUAAGCACCGGCUAACUUCGUGCCAGCAGCCGCGGUAA
rnacentral:rRNA from 1 species